CAAUAGCGUAUAUUAAAGUUGUUGCGGUUAAAAAGCUCGUAGUUGGAGUUCUGCCAGGUGACGCUCGUCCGCCCAAGUGGUGUGUACAGGGCGUGCAUCUGGCCCUUUCAAGGGGAACGUGUCUGCUCUUUACUGAGUGGUGCGAGAUCCUUGACUUUUACUUUGAGGAAAUAAGAGUGUUCCAAGCAGGCUCUCGUCGUGCAUAGCUCAGCAUGGAAUAAUAGCAUUGGACUUCGUUUCUAAGCUGUUGGUUGCAAGAAGCGAGGUAAUGAUGAAGAGGGAUAGUUGGGGGCAUUCGUAUUUAACUGUCAGAGGUGAAAUUCUUGGAUUUGUUAAAGACGGACUACUGCGAAANCANNNGCCAUGGAUGUUUUCAUNGA
rnacentral:rRNA from 1 species